rnacentral:rRNA from 1 species
AUGGCCGCGCGUCUCGUCCACGGACCACGGUCCACCCCGCCGCUUCGCUGUCUCUCGCUCUCUAGCACACCAAAAAAAAAAACCCUCAGAAUGGCGAAGGGACAGGAAACCCUAGCGCUGGCCGCCGGCGUCUUAACCCCGCUGCAGGUAAUGCGGAGGGACGCGUGCGACGACGGUGACCGGCGGCUCCGUCACCUUGCGCUCUUCAUCGAUCCACGCACCAUGUUAUAUGUGUCUGCUUCUAAGAAGACACGGGUAAUGAAGUGCCACAGGUCUGGAGUUUUCAUUCGUCAGGUGUUGAACACAGGAGCAGACAAUCUCAUGGAUCCGGUGUUUAGGGAAGCAGCAGACAAAGGAAAUAUAAUUAGCCUACAAGAGCUUGCUGUCAAACCCAACAUAAUUUACUCGACGACAAAGGCGGAGAAAAAUACAGGACUUCACAUCGCGGCGUCAAAAGGACACACUUUGUUUGUCCACCAUUUCCUCCUCCAUGCAGGCAUGAAUAUGGAGCUCAUGGUCAGUCAAAACAAUGAUGGCGAUACGCCACUGCACCUGGCGGCGAGAGCUGGCCAUCUAGAAGUGGUCGAGCACCUGAUACAAUACUCAGGGUGGGCAAGGAAAAUCAAUGCCAACUUAAAGGUUCUCAGCUCACUAGCAAUAUGCAUUCUAUUUGAGUUAAGCUCCAAUCUGGAACCGAUCUCCAUCACCGGGGGCAAGACCAUUUGGGAUGGAGAGUUUGCCGCAGUAGCACCACCAGCUCUCGCUAGAGGUAGAAGAUGCGAGCAUUCAGUCAAAGCCAACCUGCCUCCUUUUUGGCAUGGCCUCACCUUGGGUCGCCGUCGCAAACACAAGGGCAUCCUUCUCGCCGUAGGGUGCCACCACCGCAAGCCCCUGUUGCAAGAUCUCGUUGAGCUACCACAAACGACCUACCACCUUAGCAGAACAACCACCCUGAGCUGUGUUGCAAGAUCUCCUCGAGUACAAGGGGCUGUUUGGAUUGGAGCCUGCAGCUGCCAAGCCAAAAAUUUGGUAGUUGACCAAGUGCUGGCGCUCCUUUGA